rnacentral:rRNA from 1 species
CACAUGCAAGUCGAGGGGCAGCAUGAACUUAGCUUGCUAAGUUUGAUGGCGACCGGCGCACGGGUGAGUAACACGUAUCCAACCUGCCGAUGACUCGGGGAUAGCCUUUCGAAAGAAAGAUUAAUACCCGAUGGCAUAGUUCUUCCGCAUGGUAGAACUAUUAAAGAAUUUCGGUCAUCGAUGGGGAUGCGUUCCAUUAGGUUGUUGGCGGGGUAACGGCCCACCAAGCCUUCGAUGGAUAGGGGUUCUGAGAGGAAGGUCCCCCACAUUGGAACUGAGACACGGUCCAAACUCCUACGGGAGGCAGCAGUGAGGAAUAUUGGUCAAUGGACGAGAGUCUGAACCAGCCAAGUAGCGUGAAGGAUGACUGCCCUAUGGGUUGUAAACUUCUUUUAUACGGGAAUAAAGUGAGGCACGUGUGCCUUUUUGUAUGUACCGUAUGAAUAAGGAUCGGCUAACUCCGUGCCAGCAGCCGCGGUAAUACGGAGGAUCCGAGCGUUAUCCGGAUUUAUUGGGUUUAAAGGGAGCGUAGGCGGACGCUUAAGUCAGUUGUGAAAGUUUGCGGCUCAACCGUAAAAUUGCAGUUGAUACUGGGUGUCUUGAGUACAGUAGAGGCAGGCGGAAUUCGUGGUGUAGCGGUGAAAUGCUUAGAUAUCACGAAGAACUCCGAUUGCGAAGGCAGCCUGCUGGACUGUAACUGACGCUGAUGCUCGAAAGUGUGGGUAUCAAACAGGAUUAGAUACCCUGGUAGUCCACACAGUAAACGAUGAAUACUCGCUGUUUGCGAUAUACAGUAAGCGGCCAAGCGAAAGCGUUAAGUAUUCCACCUGGGGAGUACGCCGGCAACGGUGAAACUCAAAGGAAUUGACGGGGGCCCGCACAAGCGGAGGAACAUGUGGUUUAAUUCGAUGAUACGCGAGGAACCUUACCCGGGCUUGAAUUGCA